rnacentral:rRNA from 1 species
ACUCCUACGGGAGGCAGCAGUGGGGAAUUUUGGACAAUGGGCGCAAGCCUGAUCCAGCCAUUCCGCGUGCAGGAUGAAGGCCCUCGGGUUGUAAACUGCUUUUGUACGGAACGAAAAGGCUCUGGUUAAUACCUGGGGCUCAUGACGGUACCGUAAGAAUAAGCACCGGCUAACUACGUGCCAGCAGCCGCGGUAAUAC